AUUGAACGCUGGCGGCAUGCUUUACACAUGCAAGUCGAACGGUAACAGGCUUUCGGCUGCUUCCGACUGGCGGAGGGUGGCGUACUGCAUCGGAACGUGCCCGGAGGUGGGGUUUCACGCAGCUAAAGCUGUGCUACUUCCGCUAAUGCUGUAUGGGUGCUACCGGUGGACGCAGCGGCACUGUUUAGCCUCCGCCCUCUGAUGCGGCGGAUUGUGGGUUACUUUUUUGGUGGGGUAAAGGCCAACCAAGCCGCCGAUCUGUAGCUGGUCUGAGAGGAAGACCAGCCCAACUGGGACUGAGACACCGCUCAGACUCCUAAGGGAGGCAGCAGGUGGGAAUUUUGGACAAUGGGCGCAAGCCUGAUCCAGCAAAGCCGCGGGCGGGAAGAAGGCCUUCGGGGUGUAAACCGCUUUUGCACGGAACGAAAAGGCGCUGGCUAAUACCUGGGGCUGAUGACGGUACCGAAAGAAUAAGCACCGGCUAACUACGUG
rnacentral:rRNA from 1 species